GCAGCGAUGCCGCGUGAGUGAAGAAGGCCCUUGGGUUGUAAAGCUCUUUCGUCGGGGAAGAAAAUGACUGUACCCGAAUAAGAAGGUCCGGCUAACUUCGUGCCAGCAGCCGCGGUAAUACGAAGGGACCUAGCGUAGUUCGGAAUUACUGGGCUUAAAGAGUUCGUAGGUGGUUGAAAAAGUUGGUGGUGAAAUCCCAGAGCUUAACUCUGGAACUGCCAUCAAAACUUUUCAGCUAGAGUUUGAUAGAGGAAAGCAGAAUUUCUAGUGUAGAGGUGAAAUUCGUAGAUUUUAGAAAGAAUACCAAUUGCGAAGGCAGCUUUCUGGAUCAUUACUGACACUGAGGAACGAAAGCAUGGGUAGCGAAGAGGAUUAGAUACCCUCGUAGUCCAUGCCGUAAACGAUGUGUGUUAGACGUUGGAAAUUUAUUUUCAGUGUCGCAGCGAAAGCGAUAAACACACCGCCUGGGGAGUACGACCGCAAGGUUAAAACUCAAAUGAAUUGACGGGGACCCGCACAAGUAGUGGAGCAUGUGGUUUAAUUCGAAGAUACGCGCAGAACCUUACCAACACUUGACAUGUUCGUCGCGACUUUAAGAGAUUAAAGUUUUCGGUUCGGCCGGACGAAACACAGGUGCUGCAUGGCUGUCGUCAGCUCGUGUCGUGAGAUGUUGGGUUAAGUCCCGCAACGAGCGCAACCCUCACUUUUAGUUGCCAUCAUUAAGUUGGGCACUCUGAAAGAACUGCCAGUGAUAA
rnacentral:rRNA from 1 species